UACGUAGGUGGCAAGCGUUGUCCGGAUUUACUGGGCGUAAAGGGCGUGCAGGCGGUCUGUUAAGUGCAGGGUGAAAGCUCCCGGCUCAACUGGGAGAGGUCCUUGCAUACUGGCGGACUUGAGGGGGGUAGAGGAAAGUGGAAGUUCCCGGUGUAGUGGUGAUAUGCGUAGAUAUCGGGAGGAACACCUGUGGCGAAGGCAGGCCGACUGGUCCGGUUCUGACGCUGAGGCGCGAAAGCGUGGGGAGCAAACAGG
rnacentral:rRNA from 1 species